rnacentral:tmRNA from 1 species
GGGGCUGGAUUGGAAUUGACAACAAGAUUAAUAUAUAAGUAAGCAUAUCGUGAAAAGUAAUGUAAUCACGUAAAUAUCAUUACAAAUGAUAACCGGCAAAAAAAAUUAUGCUCUUGCUGCUUGAGAAAGCAAGAUUUUUUGAUUAAAAAUAAAUUUAAUUUUUAAUUUGAAAGAUUGAGGUUCUAAAUCUUUCUUGAAUUGUUUAGAACUUUCUUAUAAGAAAGAGUUUCUUAUCACUAAUCUUAUGUGAAAUUUUAUCUUUGAUAAGAUAAAUAUGUAGAAAACUUAUAAUAUUACUUGUUUGGACACGGGUUCGAAUCCCGUCAGCUCCACAC